CGCGUUCCUGCUAACCGCCGAAUUCAUUAGAAAGCCUGCCUUGUUCCCUCUAGUUUGUUCUAUUCCCUGAGGACAAAGACAACAUUUUGGAAAUUAUUAAUACUCUAAAGAGAAUCCCUCAAAAUAAGCAAUCGAUCUCCUUAUUUUAUAAUAUAAAUGCAACUUCCAUCAAGCUGUCUCUUUCAAAGCAACUGAACCAUAUUUUCUUUGUUUUUUUUUUUUUGAACCAUAUUUUCUAACACUGUGUCCCCCUUUCUAAAAUAUGACAGGCGGCUGAACUCAUGUCCCUUCCCACGCGUGAUAGCUCCUGAAAUCAGAGUCGGUGAGAGGGUGUGCUCAAGCCACAGAAACUGCCCUCUCCCAUGCCCACUCUGCUCUAUUCAGGUGCACAGCUUGGUUUCUAUGUCAGGAUGCUAGAGCUCCGUAGGUAAGGGGAGGAAAAAAGAAAGAAAGAAAGAAAAAAAACAAGAAGGAUUUCCUUUAAAGGAAGAGAACUAAUGUUAGAACAAGCAAUUAAGAAUAAGAAACAUCAGGAUAACUGUUAAGGACUCACAACUGUUAGCCUUGACAACAAUAAACUCCAGCUUUACAUAUUUAAAUGUGUCCCUUACAGAAUAAGGAGAAUUUACACAGUUUCUUUUCUUUCUUUCUUUCUUUCUUACUUUGUUGAGAUCCAUCAUCUCCCUUUGUUUCAAUGCAUAUCACUGCCAUGCACAUCACUGAUGUCAUCAAUGUGUAUUAAGUGUGCACCCAUUUUCCAGUAAUGCUAGUGAGUUCAAAUAAGGCCACAGGCUUCUCUUUCCUUCACAUCCACUUGGGUCACCCUGCAGCCCACUAGUUCAAGCAAUUAUCUAUCCCCAUCCCGUCUAUCUGUUCCUCUCAAUCCGAAUCUCAAAUACUGUCCUUGUUUCAAUGCAAAAUACUUCAUGCUCAUCUUUUUCUGAAGCGCUAUCAUCAGUCACCGUCCUGUUUCCAAAAUCAUGUGUCAAGCCCUUGUAAGAAACGCCUCAAAAUAAAGACAGAUUCCCCUUGAUGGAAGUUGGGUGACAUACACGCUAUCCCAAUACGGCAUAUAUAUUUACUUUUAUAUACCAUCAAUUCCACCAGCCAUAUUAAGUGAUGGAGUAUUUGUCUUGUUGGUUUCAUGUGUGCACAUCUUCCUCUCAUUUAAUAACAGGUGGUAAGCUUUUUUGAAGAAACAGAAUUUUCUGGGGAUGAAGUUUUGGACGAUGCAGAUUUAGAUGAAAGUAAGCAUAUCUUGCAAACCUGUAUUAAUGUAAAGCCUCUUUACAUUAAGUUCAGAGAGGUAGUUAGAUAGUCUAUACCCAGCAAAAUGCCCCAAAAACUUUCAGGAAUGAAUGCUUUUGAGCUAUCAAAAAACUUUAAUCCUAUAAAGAGGUUAUAUCCAAUUCUUCGACAAAACGCAUCACCAUAAUCUUAUUUGGUACAUUAUUUAACUGGUGUUUAUUUACUUCCCAUAUAUGCCAACUACAAUGUAAGCUUCAUGAAGGCAGAAAUUUCUUUUUAAAAUUCAUACAUCCUAUUUCCUAGAACACUGAUAAGUACAUGAACGCAUGAUAAAUAUUUGUUGAAUGAACAUUCAUUAUAGCAGCUGUGAAUACUUAAUUUCAAUACUUUAUUUCUGUUGCUGAUAUUAUAUUUGUUUUAACUUUGUCAAACGAUCUUCUUUGUUGACUAUGUCUCCCUUUGAAUGAUUAUGAAGAACAUAGUGGAUAAAAUGAACGCUCUGGCAAGCAAAAUGUCAAAGCUAUUUUCACUCCACAUGUAAGACAAAUAAGACAAAUACUCCAUCAUUUGAUAUCUUGGAACUUAAAUGGUUGAAAGCACAUUUUUAGAAGAGAGGCAAUCUAAAAUUUGAAUUUUUGUUCCAUCAUCUCAAACAUGUGACGAGCAAAUCUCUAAACUUUGCCAUGUCUUCAUUCAUGUUGUGAGACUUGUGUAAUACAAUUGUCGAAGAUUAAAUUAGACUGACAUAGUUCACGGAACUAUCAAUGACCUGGUAGUUUUUGCAAGUAUUAUCUCUAUAGAGAGGUUGUUAAGUGUUUAUGUGUUUGGGCUGAAUAAUAAAAACCCUUCACCAUGGUGUCCUCUCCUCUAUGUAGGAGAAUGAAGUGAUCAAUAAUUGAUCA
rnacentral:lncRNA from 1 species